GAUGAACGCUGGCGGCGUGCCUAAUACAUGCAAGUCGAGCGAACGGACGAGAAGCUUGCUUCUCUGAUGUUAGCGGCGGACGGGUGAGUAACACGUGGAUAACCUACCUAUAAGACUGGGAUAACUUCGGGAAACCGUAGCUAAUACCGGAUAAUAUUUUGAACCGCAUGGUUCAAAAGUGAAAGACGGUCUUGCUGUCACUUAUAGAUGGAUCCGCGCUGCAUUAGCUAGUUGGUAAGGUAACGGCUUACCAAGGCAACGAUGCAUAGCCGACCUGAGAGGGUGAUCAGCCACACUGGAACUGAGACACGGUCCAGACUCCUACGGGAGGCAGCAGUAGGGAAUCUUCCGCAAUGGGCGAAAGCCUGACGGAGCAACUCCGCGUGAGUGAUGAAGGUCUUCGGAUCGUAAAACUCUGUUAUUAGGGAAGAACAUAUGUGUAAGUAACUGUGCACAUCUUGACGGUACCUAAUCAGAAAGCCACGGCUAACUACGUG
rnacentral:rRNA from 1 species